rnacentral:rRNA from 1 species
CAGCGUCACGAGUGGCAACCAUAUUUAUUGGGCCUAAAGCGUCCGUAGCCUGUUUGAUAAGUCUUUUGUGAAAUCGUUGCGCUCAACGUAACGUUGUGCAAGAGAUACUGUCAGACUUGGAAUUGGGAAGAGUUAGAGGUAUUCUGGGGGGAGCGGUAAAAUGCUAUAAUCCCUGGAGGACCACCAGUGGCGAAAGCGUCUAACUAGAACAACUUCGACGGUGAGGGACGAAAGCCAGGGGAGCAAAACGGAUUAGAUACCCGAGUAGUCC